AUUGAACGCUGGCGGCAUGCCUUACACAUGCGAGUCGAACGGCAGCAUGGGUGCUUGCCCCUGAUGGCGAGUGGCGAGCGGGUGAGUAACGCAUCGGAACGUACCCGGCCGUGGGGGACAAGGAAGUGAAAGUUGCGGUAAUGCCGCAUCUUCUGUGAGCCGGAAAGAGCGGGAUCCCCAGACCUCUCGCUUUCCGUCCGGCCGAGGUCGGCUUAGCGAGUUGGCGGGGUAAAGGCCCACCAAGGCAACGAUCCGUAGCGGGGCGGAGAGGAUGAUCCGCCACACUGGGACUGGGACACGGCCCAGACUCCUACGGGAGGCAGCAGUGGGGAAUUUUGGACAAUGGGGGCAACCCUGAUCCAGCCAUGCCGCGUGAGUGAAGAAGGCCUUCGGGUUGUAAAGCUCUUUCGGCUGGGAAGAAAUCGCAUCUCCUAAUACGGGGUGUGGAUGACGGUACCAGCAUAAGAAGCACCGGCUAACUACGUGCCAGCCGCCGCGGUAAAAC
rnacentral:rRNA from 1 species